rnacentral:rRNA from 1 species
AUUGAACGCUGGCGGCAUGCCUUACACAUGCAAGUCGAACGGUAACGCGGGGCAACCUGGCGACGAGUGGCGAACGGGUGAGUAUUGCAUCGGAACGUGCCUGGUAGUGGGGGAUAACUGCUCGAAAGAGCAGCUAAUACCGCAUACGACCUGAGGGUGAAAGGGGGGGAUCGCAAGACCUCUCGCUAUCAGAGCGGCCGAUGUCGGAUUAGCUAGUUGGUGGGGUAAAGGCCCACCAAGGCGACGAUCCGUAGCCGGUCUGAGAGGACGACCAGCCACACUGGGACUGAGACACGGCCCAGACUCCUACGGGAGGCAGCAGUGGGGAAUUUUGGACAAUGGACGCAAGUCUGAUCCAGCCAUGCCGCGUGCGGGAAGAAGGCCUUCGGGUUGUAAACCGCUUUUGUCAGGGAAGAAAUCUUCUGGACUAAUACUCUGGGAGGAUGACGGUACCUGAAGAAUAAGCACCGGCUAACUACGUGCCAGCAGCCGCCGUAA